CCGAAAAUUUACGGUCCGCAUUUUCUUUAUAUUGACCUCGAGUAGGCAUAAUACCCUUAAUAUUUUCAUUCAACUACAAAAUACAUUAUAUGAAUAAUACAGUUUGAGGUAGGGUAAAAACCAUGUUAAAUAGCAUUUCUCAAUCUCUUAAGAAAAACACCAAAAUAUUUCUUAAAUCACAAAAAAUAUUCUACGAAAGUUUUCUCAAUAGGUAGGGGUAAAACAAUCGAUCAAAAUGUAGGAAUUAUAAGGAUUUUCUCGAUAAUAUACGUUAAAUGGUAAAAACUAUUCGUAAAACGAAAUUGAAAUUACUGGUAAUUUAUUUCCAUGUAUUUUAUGUAAAUCGAUUUCGGGUAGGCGUAAAACACAAAUAUUCUUAAAACUGACACAUAUUCUGUGAAUAAUGUAUGCAGGUAGGGUCAAUACGAUGUUAAUAAUAAUAUCUUAAGAGCAACAAAAAUUAAUCUUAAAUCACAACAGAUAGGUAGGGGUAAAACAAUCAUUCAAUAAUUUAUCAAAUCGGCAAAUUCAUCGAAAUAUACGACCUAAUGUGUUCAAACUCUGAAAAUUUACUCCACUGCAUUUUAUUUAAAUCGACCUCGGGUAGGCGUAAUACAUCUGUAUUCUUUAACAACAAAAUAUAUUCUCUGAAUAAUAUAAUACGAGGUAGGGCUUAUAUCAUCAUAUCAAAUAUUUCUUAAAUCCCAAAAAAUAUUCUACGAAAGUUUUCUAGAUUGGUAGGGGUAAUCAAAUCGUACAACAAUGUUCAAAGUUAGGUAGGAAUUAUGCAAAUAAAUAGCCCACUGUAUUGGUGAUUUUAUUACUGAUAUAUGAAUGGUACAAACGUGCGUAAGCCGAUAAAGAAAUUAAAAUUACUGGUAAUUUAUUUCCAUUCUUUUUCUUAAAUUUGAUCCCGCAAGAACGUAAAACACAAAAAUUCUUUACACUCGAAAAAAAAUCGUUCAAUGAUUUCUCACAACCGCAAAUUCAUCGAAAUAUACGACCUUAUUAAAAACACUGGAAAUUUACUUCCCUGAAUUUUCUUUAUAUCGACCUCGGGUAGACAUAAUACCUUAAUAUUUUCUUUACCCCGCAAAAUAUAUUUUGUAAAUAAUGUAACAUAGUUUGAGGUAGGGUUAAACCCAUGCUGAAUAACAUAUCUUAAUCUGAUAAGAACAACAUCAAAAUAUGUCUUAA